AUUGAACGCUGGCGGCAGGCCUAACACAUGCAAGUCGAGCGGAUGAGUGGAGCUUGCUCCAUGAUUCAGCGGCGGACGGGUGAGUAAUGCCUAGGAAUCUGCCUGGUAGUGGGGGACAACGUUUCGAAAGGAACGCUAAUACCGCAUACGUCCUACGGGAGAAAGUGGGGGAUCUUCGGACCUCACGCUAUCAGAUGAGCCUAGGUCGGAUUAGCUAGUUGGUGAGGUAAAGGCUCACCAAGGCGACGAUCCGUAACUGGUCUGAGAGGAUGAUCAGUCACACUGGAACUGAGACACGGUCCAGACUCCUACGGGAGGCAGCAGUGGGGAACAUUGGACAAUGGGCGAAAGCCUGAUCCAGCCAUGCCGCGUGUGUGAAGAAGGUCUUCGGAUUGUAAAGCACUUUAAGUUGGGAGGAAGGGCAGUAAGUUAAUGCCUUGCUGUUUUGACGUUACCAACAGAAUAAGCACCGGCUAACUUCGUGCCAGCAGCCGCCGUAAUAC
rnacentral:rRNA from 1 species